CAGAGACCUAUAGUGUUGUUACAGUACUGAUUUUUUAGGAAACCAUGUGAAAAGGAACUUGGCUUUGGUCUUUGGUCCAAGGAGCUUUCUGUUCUCUCGGAGUCUACAAAAUGCUGAGCAAUGAACAUAUGGCUGUUACUAUCAGCACUGGUGUAUUUGCAGCGAUGCCUAUCAACAUCCACCAGAGAGCAGGGCAGCUCCAAAACCCACAUCUUUCAUGCUGUGGAAAUUGAUGGAGACAGCAACACAGCCAGCUUCUUGGCCAAACAACAUGGAAUGCAGUUCAUUUCAAAGAUGCUUGGCAGCACAGUAGAAAAAUUGUAGCUAUGGAAAAGGCUACCGAGGAGGUACCACACUGGAAUGCACUUCUUCAAAGUGUAACUCUUGAAUGAUAGACAGUGAGU
rnacentral:lncRNA from 1 species